AUCACCUACGGGGCGCAGCAGUCGAGAAUCAUUCACAAUGGGGGAAACCCUGAUGGUGCGACGCCGCGUGGGGGAAUGAAGGUCUUCGGAUUGUAAACCCCUGUCAUGUAGGAGCAAAUUAAAAAGAUAGUACCACAAGAGGAAGACACGGCUCACUCUGUGCCAGCAGCCGCGGUAAUACAGAGGUCUCAAGUGUUGUUCGGAAUCACUGGGCGUAAAGCGUGCGUAGGCUGUUUAGUAAGUCGUGU
rnacentral:rRNA from 1 species